rnacentral:lncRNA from 1 species
AUCUUGGGGGCCAUGAUGCAAAAAGAUGAUGAAAAGUGGUCUAGAGAGUGGAGAAGGAUUGGAUUGAACCGAAAUCAAAAAGGAGAAAAGGAUUUUUAAGUGAUUUCCCACAGAUUUGAUGGCUAGGGCUUGAAGAUUUGGAGAAAACUGAAAAUGACUCGUGAGAAAGAUGGAUUUGGGAAGAAUGAGUUUUGGUUUGGAGGGAUUUUGAGGUUUCUGGGAGAGCAAGGAUGUGGAUUCUUGAUUGGGAUG